GUCACUUCGGCGGUACAUCAAUUAAAAUUGAAACGACACCGUGAAGAUUAGCAGGGUCCCUGCAUAAUCCAAUAAUAGCUGAGGCACGGAGGAUGUGU
rnacentral:snRNA from 1 species